AAGUUAAUUAGCUUAUAUAAAGCGUGUAUUUUGAAAAUACAAGUAAGAUUUAAAUUUAUUAACUU
rnacentral:tRNA from 1 species